UACGUAGGGUGCGAGCGUUACUCGGAAUCACUGGGCGUAAAGCGUGCGCAGGCGGCCCGUUAAGACAGGUGUGAAAUCCCUGGGCUCAACCUAGGAAUUGCGCUUGUGACUGGCGGGCUCGAGUACGGUAGAGGGGGGUGGAAUUCCUGGUGUAGCAGUGAAAUGCGUAGAGAUCAGGAGGAACACCGAUGGCGAAGGCAGCCCCCUGGGCCUGUACUGACGCUCAUGCACGAAAGCGUGGGGAGCAAACAGG
rnacentral:rRNA from 1 species